GAGAGCGAGGGGCGGAGUAGCCAAG
rnacentral:tRNA from 1 species